GCCAGGUAUGGUGGUGCACACCUGUAAUCUCAGCAGCUCAGGAGGCUGAGGCAGGAGGAUUAUGAGUUCAAAGCCAGCCUCAGCAACUUAGUGUGGUCCUGGUGAGACCCUGUUUCUA
rnacentral:sRNA from 1 species